GACGAACGCUGGCGGCGUGCCUAAUACAUGCAAGUCGAGCGAACAGACGAGGAGCUUGCUCCUCUGACGUUAGCGGCGGACGGGUGAGUAACACGUGGAUAACCUACCUAUAAGACUGGGAUAACUUCGGGAAACCGGAGCUAAUACCGGAUAAUAUAUUGAACCGCAUGGUUCAAUAGUGAAAGACGGUUUUGCUGGCACUUAUAGAUGGAUCCGCGCCGCAUUAGCUAGUUGGUAAGGUAACGGCUUACCAAGGCAACGAUGCGUAGCCGACCUGAGAGGGUGAUUGGCCACACGGGAGCUGAGACACGGUCCAGACUCCUACGAGAGGCAGCAGUAGGGAAUCGUCCGCAGAGGGCGAGAGCCUGACGGAGCAACGCGGCGUGAGUGAUGAAGGUGUUCGGAUCGUAAAACUCUGUUAUUAGGGAAGAACAAAUGUGUAAUUAACUAUGCACGUCUUGACGGUACCUGGUCAAAAAGCCACGGCUAACUACGUG
rnacentral:rRNA from 1 species